rnacentral:misc_RNA from 1 species
AACGCACAUUGCGCCCUUUGGUAUUCCGAAGGGCAUGCCUGUUCGAGCGUCAUUAUCACCCCUCAAGCCUCGUGCUUGGCGUUGGACGGCCGGUCGAGCGAUCGACCCCUCCGAAAGACAAUGACGGCGGCCUGUGGUUCCCCCGGUACACUGAGCUUUUCACGGAGCACGUAUCGGACAAGGGCGCCCGGGACCCGGUCUUCUCCUCUCAGCAGGAAACUUCUCAAGGUUGACCUCGGAUCAGGUAGGAAUACGCGCUGAACUUAA